UAUAAAAUAAAAAAAAUUGAUGUCAUAUAUUAACAGAAGCGCCGUAUAGCCUCUUGUAUACCACCAUCCCACCUAUAAAAAGAAAAGGUGGAUGUCAAAAAUAUUACUUAUUUUUCAGCUAAAAUAAAAUCUAAAUCCAAGGAAAAAUCUAUAUCCAAGUAUUACCAAAAAUCAAACGGUACAAGUCAAGUGAUAACAGCCUUACACUGGUUGUCGGUAAGAGGUUGAAGUCUUGCAAAAGAAACAGUGUCCCAAACCCCCCAUCCACCCAUUCCGAAAUACGAGUCCAACUUUCCUUGCCGC
rnacentral:lncRNA from 1 species